AAUGCUACAAGCAAGAAAACAGUGGAGUGCAUCAACCACAACUCGUCGAACUUGGAAUGGCAGGGCAAGGUGUCGCCUCCGUGCUUGCCGCAGGGCAAUAUUGCUCAUUGUGUAUUGGCGUGUCUAUCCCAACAGGUAACAACAUGCAUGUCAUCUCUAGUCUCUACAAGUGAGAAAUGCAUCUAGCUAUACCAACAGGUAACUACGUCUCCUACUGUAUAAUAUGAACCGUAUGUAUAAUACAUUUGUUUUGAAAGAGACACUAAAAAAUAAUGUCAAAUCAGAUAUAUAUUAAGAAAAACAAGAUACCUGCAUGAUGUAUAU
rnacentral:lncRNA from 1 species